rnacentral:rRNA from 1 species
GAUGAACGCUGGCGGCGUGCCUAAUACAUGCAAGUCGAGCGAACGGACGAGAAGCUUGCUUCUCUGAUGUUAGCGGCGGACGGGUGAGUAACACGUGGAUAACCUACCUAUAAGACUGGGAUAACUUCGGGAAACCGGAGCUAAUACCGGAUGAUAUUUUGAACCGCAUGGUUCAAAAGUGAAAGACGGUCUUUCUGUCACUUAUAGAUGGAUCCGCGCUGCAUUAGCUAGUUGGUAAGGUAACGGCUUACCAAGGCAACGAUGCAUAGCCGACCUGAGAGGGUGGUGGGCAACAGGAGAACUGAGACACGGCCCAGACUCCGACGGGGGGAACCAGUAGGGAUUCUUCCGAAAGGGGAGAAAGCCUGACGGAGAAGCGCCGCGGGAGGGAUAAAGGUCUUCGGAUCUAAAAACUUUGUUAUGAGGGAAAAACAUUUGUGUAAGUAACUGUGCACAUCUUGAGGGUACCUAAUAAGAAAGCCACGGCUAACUACGUG